CUAGCUUCACCUCAUUUGACUGUACAGUCAGGCCUGUUCGUGGGCCUCCAUAGAGACCUAAUUUAGGCCUCACUCAAAAGUAGCAAACCACUUGUUCAAGCUUUAAACCCAGAUAUUUUUAUUACUAAUUUUUCCAACUGUUAUUGGAAGCCUCCAUUUGCUUUCAGGCCUCAUGAUCAGGCUUUAAGCCCUUGCCAGUCAGGCAGACAUAUUGUCUCCUUCACACUCAGUCUCAGGCAGCCAUUUUAGGUUUUCCUUAACUUUCAGUGGGGCAGCCAUAUUGUCUCCUUCACUUUUGUUCUUAGACAUUUUUGGUUCUCUUUACCUUGCUGAGGAGCAGCUACAGUAGAGUCUUGCUUAUCCAACCUUCGCUUAUCCAAUGUUCUGUAUUAUCCAAUGCAGUCUGCCUCCCGUCUGGAUCCACAGCUGUUUCUCUAGGCAGCAAGGACUGAAGGUUUUAUGGAUAUAACUUCCGACAAUGUUGUUACUGGCUGUGAGGAAGAGAUCAGGAAACGGUAUAAAGAAAAUACCUGGAUAUUAAUGCCAUUAAGUACUGGACUAAUGCUACUUGAACAGACACCAUGGGAGGAUUGAGAGUCAGGCAGCCUUCCAAAUGCUGUUGGAUUGCAGCAUCCAGCAUUCUUCACCACUGGCUAUACUAAUGCAAGCUGAUGGAAUUUGCUGACAACGUCUGAAGAGCUACAUCAUUUCCACCACUGAAAAGGUGGACCUUGAGUAGGCAUUUCUAUACAGGUUUACAUAUUUGUAUUUUACUAACUUUAAAAAUGAAACAUCAAGCAAUCAGUGAACAGCAACAAAACUUUAAAAGCAACCAAGUUGUAAUUACCGAAACUAAACAGGGUAUUAGAAAAAAAUGCAACAGCCUUUGCUUGUAUUAAAAUAUUGAAAGUUCAGCAUAACCCUUUAAUAAAAAGAUUGAAAUACCAA